rnacentral:rRNA from 1 species
GACGAACCGUGCGAACGUUGUUCGGAAUCACUGGGCUUAAAGGGCGCGUAGGCGGGCUGUCAAGUCUGGGGUGAAAUGCCGCGGCUCAACCGUGGAACUGCCUUAGAUACUGACGGGCUCGAGGAAGGUAGGGGCAUGCGGAACUGUAGGUGGAGCGGUGAAAUGCGUUGAUAUCUACAGGAACUCCGGUGGCGAAAGCGGCGUGCUGGACCUUUUCUGACGCUGAGGCGCGAAAGCUAGGGGAGCAAACGGG